rnacentral:pre_miRNA from 14 species
UUUUGAAACUGAAAGACCCCCGAAGGGAGCCCCCCACUCAAGUCUCAGGAAAGACGCGCACCCAGUAGGACACAGACACCG